AGUCGAGCGGAUUGAUGGGAGCUUGCUCCCUGAAGUCAGCGGCGGACCGGUGAGUAACACGUGGGUAACCUGCCUGUAAGACUGGGAUAACUCCGGGAAACCGGGGCUAAUACCGGAUAGUUCUUUUCCUCGCAUGAGGAAAAGUGGAAAGGCGGCUUCGGCUGCCACUUACAGAUGGACCCGCGGCGCAUUAGCUAGUUGGUGAGGUAACGGCUCACCAAGGCAACGAUGCGUAGCCGACCUGAGAGGGUGAUCGGCCACACUGGGACUGAGACACGGCCCAGACUCCUACGGGAGGCAGCAGUAGGGAAUCUUCCGCAAUGGACGAAAGUCUGACGGAGCAACGCCGCGUGAGUGAUGAAGGUUUUCGGAUCGUAAAGCUCUGUUGUUAGGGAAGAACAAGUGCCGUUCGAAUAGGGCGGCACCUUGACGGUACCUAACCAGAAAGCCACGGCUAACUACGUGCCAGCAGCCGCGGUAAUACGUAGGUGGCAAGCGUUGUCCGGAAUUAUUGGGCGUAAAGCGCGCGCAGGCGGUCUCUUAAGUCUGAUGUGAAAGCCCACGGCUCAACCGUGGAGGGUCAUUGGAAA
rnacentral:rRNA from 1 species